CCUACGGGUGGCUGCAGUGGGGAAUAUUGGACAAUGGGGGGAACCCUGAACCAGCGACGCCGCGUGAGUGAAGAAGUAUUUCGGUAUGUAAAGCUCUAUCAGCAGGGAAGAAAGAAAUGACGGUACCUGACUAAGAAGCCCCGGCUAACUACGUGCCAGCAGCCGCGGUAAUACGUAGGGGGCAAGCGUUAUCCGGAUUUACUGGGUGUAAGGGGAGCGUAGACGGUUACGCAAGUCUGGAGUGAAAGGCGGGGGCCCAACCCCCGGACUGCGUUGGAAACUGGAUAACUGGAGUGCAGGAGAGGCAAGUGGAAUGCCUAGUGUAGCGGUGAAAUGCGUAGAUAUUAGGAGGAACACCAGUGGCGAAGGCGGCUUACUGGACUGUAACUGACGUUGAGGCUCGAAAGCGUGGGGAGCAAACAGGAUUAGAUACCCGGGUAGUC
rnacentral:rRNA from 1 species